rnacentral:lncRNA from 1 species
UCUCAUCGCCGUCUCCACCUCUGAAGCCAUUAACAUCACGGAGGUUCUCUCCGGUUAUCCAAAAUAACGGGCUUUGUCGGUUCUUUGUUUUAAGAGAUGGAUGGUGGUGGUGGUAGUAGAUGUCGACGUCUGGAUUUUUAUUUGUCCCUUUUCUGUUCUUAUCUUUUGGUGUUCUCAUGUUAGGUGAGAUUUGUUUGAAAAAACAAGCUUAAAAAGGUCUGACAUGUAUAUGUCGAUGAUUUGACUAUAAGAGUCGCCAGUUGGUAUUUUUAAAUCGUUGCACCAACUCAACCGAGAAAUGGUUUGCACAUAGACCUAGUGAUGUGACACUAUUUAACUGGUCUGUGAAAUCGAGAUUCUAUAGGGUCCGGGGGCUUGAUUAAGCAGAGGGAAGGUGUUAGGCACCCCCUGACUUCUGUGGUGACACGAUUACCGUCACUUUUUAAUUUAAACUUUUAUCUGAAUGUGUGUGUGUGUAGG